AAUUAAAACAUUACUCUGGCUCCAAGUCAAGAAUGAGUUGGAAUGGGCUAGAAGCAAGGAGAUCAUUUAGGAAGCUAAUGCAAAUGCCCCAAUAAACGAUUAUAGAGACUGGAUUACAGUAUAAAGAUGAGUGAGAGAGACUGGAGGAUAGAUUAAAUAUCUGGCAAGAGAGGAAAGGGAAAGAGGGAAGUCAAGAAUGACUUCACUGUUUCUAUGUCUAGCAACUGGGAGAAGAACGAUGUCCUUUAUCAAAGAGAUAAUUCUAAAGAAGGAGCAUAUUGGGAGGAAGACAAAAUAAAUCCAACUUUGAUAACAUUACACUUGACAUGCCUGUGAAAUAUCCUAGUGGAGCUGUCAAUGUGGUGAAUACACACGUCUAGAGCUCAGGAGGAGAGUGCCAGCAAGAUAUGGGAGUUUUUACCAUGUAAAUGGUAUAGAAGUCAUGGAUGCAGAUAAAAGAAGCCCUGUCACACCAUGGUACAUGAUCUCAUUCUGUCACCCAGGUUGGGCUGACUGCAACCUCUGCACCCAUGGCUCAAGCGAUCCUCCUACCUCAGCCUCCCGAGUAGCUGGGACCACAGGUAUGUACCACCACGCCUGGCUUUUCUCUCUCUCUUUUCUUUUUUUUUUUUUUGUAUUUUCAGUAGUGACAGAGUCUUGCCAUUGUUGCCCAGGCUGGUCACAAACUCCUGGGCUCAAGCUGUCUGCCUGCCUUGGCUUCCCAAAGUGCUGGGAUUACAGGCGUGAGCCACUGCACCCAGCCGGUUUUUAAACUUUUAUUCUUGGGCUAGCUCUGCAAAAUUUGUGGUUGGUAUCUAUUGGCAAAGACCAAAUGAGAGCAAGAAAAAGCAUAUAGAAGGAAAAUACAAAUAUCUGGAUGAUAACAAAGUGUAUUGCAAAAGUCACUGGUCAAGGGAGUCAAGUGGGCCCUGGGUUGAUAUUGGAAAAAUUACUUCACUCCUCUGAACUUGAAUUAAUUAAUCAAUAAGAUGAUAUUCCAGGAGUUCCCUUCCAGUGGCAAAAUUCUAUCAUUAACUAUGGGGUACCUUUUGCUUCUAUCAAAUUAACAAAACUUACAGAGUUUGGAACGGAGGAUGGGGGGGAUGCAUAACCCUUUCUAAGGUUCAUAAAAUUCAUACUCUCAUUUACAGCCUGGGUGGGCAGAACAGAAUGGAGAACUGCUAUAAAUUAGUAUAACUCUUUACAAGGAAAAUUUGGUAAAAUACAUCCAGAACAUGAGACUCAAACAGUGGUUCAAAGUUGGCAAUCUCUAAUUUUCAGAAUGGCAAAGUUCCAAUGCCCAUUUAGUUAAGUUGUUUAACAUAGUUAUCUUAUAUGUAGUUGUCUGAAAGGGUGUUACGAGAAUUAAAUUAAAUUCAGGUAAAGGCCUGCCCCACUAACAACCUGGCCCUUGGUAAGUACUGAAAACAUGUAAGUUAUCAUUUUUAUUUUGUUUUUACCCAAUAACCCCACUCCUGGGAUUUAUCUCUAAGAAAUCAUUAUAAGAAAAAACAAAGGUACUUGAUAAUUUGUGGUAUCAUUGAUUGUAAUCAGAAAAAAAUAACUGAAAAAAACCUAAAUGUUCAACAACUGAAAAGUGGUAGUAAACCUGAUAGAGAAUUAAGAAGCCAUUAAAGUAAUUACUAUAAAGAGUCGACAAUAUUGUGGGAAAAUAUGAAUGAUAUAGUACUAACUGAGGAAAGCAUGAUCCAAAUUGCCUGUACAUUAUGAUUUUAACUAUAUAAAAUGUACAUACUUGUAUAUAAAGGCAAGAAAAGAUGGAAAACUGUAGUCAAUAUUUGAAUAAACUGAAUAAUGUUUCUCCUUUAAUUUUUUUCAAGAUUAGCAUGGUAUUGUUAAAUAAUGCAUUGUAAAACAAAUAAGUAAAUAAAAACGAACGAACAAAUGAAACAAAACAAAAGACAAAACCCUUCCAGGUAAAGGAUAACAUUAAUAACUGCUAGUUUUAACUCCCUUGGGGUUGUAAAAGGGGCACCAAGCCCAGGGCAUCCUACUAGCUAGGUGGAGCCUUACACAUACCGAUACUGUGCACACAGGAUGAUUAGAGGAUAUGCUUUUGACAUGGCUAUUUUAGUGACAGGACUAGAUUGUAAACAUUUCUGAUCACUCCAUCAAAGUAUUU
rnacentral:lncRNA from 10 species